rnacentral:lncRNA from 1 species
UGAGUAGCUCUCACAUUGAGAUGAGCUGAUUGUCUACACUGGCUUGUGGGGGAUGGGGUCCGAGGCCAACCAGCGUAGAGUUGUGAAUCAGUAAUUGUAACCUCUGACGGCUGAGGUCCUCAGAAGAGAAAAUGCUGUUUCAAACCUUUCAGAAAUGGUCCCCAAACAACAAUAACAGUUUAUAGAGCUCUUAGGAGCAGGAGCUGCUUUAUCGUUCAUUAAGUUCCUAUAGUGCUUAGCUUGGGAGAUAAUGGAUGUACUAUAUGCUUGUUGAUUUUUUUUUUA